rnacentral:rRNA from 1 species
UACGGGGGGGGCAAGCGUUGUUCGGAAUUACUGGGCGUAAAGGGCGCGUAGGCGGUUCGCUAAGUUGGAUGUGAAAACUCUGGGUUCAACCCAGAGCCUGCAUCCAAAACUGGCGGGCUAGAGUUCUGGAGGGGGUAGCGGAAUUCCUGGUGUAGCGGUGAAAUGCGUAGAUAUCUGGAGGAACACCGGUGGCGAAGGCGGCGUCCUGGACCAACACUGACACUGAGGAGCGAAAGCCAGGGGAGCAAACGGG